GACGAACGCUGGCGGCGUGCUUAACACAUGCAAGUCGAACGGAAAGGCCUUUUCUUGGGUACUCGAGUGGCGUACGGGUGGGUAACACGUGGGUGAUCUGCCCUGCACUCAGGGGGAGGCCUGGGAUACUAGGUCUAAUACCGGAUACGUACGCGCUUUUGUUGCUGUGGUGUAAAGUUUUUUCUGUGUUGGAUGAGCCAGCGGGCUAUCCUCUGGUUGGUUGGGUAGUGGCCUACCAAGGCGGCGACGGGUAGCCGGACUGAGAGGUUAGACGGGCCCAUUAGGACUGCGAGAGGGACCAGACUCGUACGGGAGGCAGCAGUGGGGAAUCUGGCACAGUGGCGCCACGCCUGAGGCAGCGAGGUCGGGUGCGGGAAGACGGGCUUUAGGUUGUAAACGCCUUUGGGCAGGGACGGAGCGCUUUGUGACGGUACCUGGCGAAGAAGCACCGGCUAACUACGUG
rnacentral:rRNA from 1 species